CGCAUGGGGUGCAGAUCAAAGGAAGGGUACCUGCAGAGCAUGAAAGCAGCAGCCCUGGAUUCAAUCCUCAGAACCAAGGGGUAAUAAAAAGAGCAAGAGAAAAAGAAUAAAAAUACAACACUGGGGCUGUGGUAGAGCUUGCCUCACACAAACAUUGGGAGACAUUGGGUUCAAUCCUCAGCACCAUAUAAAAAAAUAAAGAUAUUGUGUUCAUCUACAACUAAAACAUAUUCUUUUAAAAAACAGAACACUGGAUAAGCAGAUCCAAAGAAACCUUUUUUUAUUUUUAUUUAUUUCUGGGGAUUUAUUUUUAUCCUUUCUGGGAACUGAACCCAGGAUCUCACAUAGUAGUAGGCAAAUGCUCUUUUACUGAGCUACAUCCCCAGCCCUUUUCAUUUUUUAUUAUGACAUGGAGCCUCACUAAAUUGCCUAGGCUGGCCUUGAACUUGUGAUCCUCCUGCCUAAGCCUCCCAAGUAGCUGGGUUUAUAGCCCUGUGCAACUAUGCCUAGCAAAAAAACUUUUUAGCAUUUAGUUCCUACUACGAUGAGUUUCCAAAGAGGUAGUAAUUUGUAAUCUGAAUUGUGGACAGUGCCAAAACACCACAGCAAACUUACUAUCCAUAACCCUUCACCCACAAAUUACAGACUGCAUGGAUAUCAAAUACUGAAGUAGCCACUGAAAACAGCAAUGUAAAAGGUGUAAAUGUUAAUAUACAACACCAUGUGAAGAGAACUCCCACAUACUUCUUAAGGACAUAAAAGAUUUGAAUAAAUGGCUGGGCGUGGUGGUGCAUUCCUGUAAUCCCAGCGUCUUGUGAGGCUGAGGCAGGAGGAUCACAAAUUCAAAGCCAGCCUCAGCAAAAAGCUGUACUUAAUUUUUCUGCUUUCUGCAGUUAACUAAUCUAAAUGCUUUAAACUCGUGAAUCUGGAAGAUCACAAAGGCUUUGAAAAGAAUCCCAAGAAUCCCUCUAUAACAUCUAGGAUGAUAAUGAUUUUUUAAAUUAUUAUUAAAUAAUCAAUAACAAAAUGAAUGACUAAGAUUCUUCAUAUGGCCAAUACCUCUUAAACUAUGUACUGUGACAGAUAAUUUAUAAACAUUAUCAUAUCAAAUCCUCAAACGAGUUACUAUUUUACAAACAGAGGAAACAUGUGCAGAGACAAUGGAAGGGCUAGAACUUGAGUCCAAGUGCAUUUUAUUCUUUGGAGCUCAUUAUUUUUUUUACCCACUGCCUGGUCCUGGAAUCACUUUGGGAGAGAACAUUUACAAAUAUAGUACCAUGGAUCACUACUGUGUGUUAGGCUCAAAACAGCCUUCUGCACAAACACCGUGUCUGAGCCUUAAUCAGGCCUUGGCCAAACUAAUAAUCAAAUGCCAACAGUGCUCAGAGGAAUACUGGCCAGCACCCUAAUCAGAUGACCAACUUCUAUUUAUACUUGCCUGUCAAACGGAACAUCCACAAGAAUCCUGGAAUUGGUUAAGGAAAGAAGACAAUUCUUCUGUAACUUUUGGGUAAAAAGAGAAAAUAAUUAUGAGUAAAUGUAAUACUCCAUUCUAAAUACAGGUUCCAAACAUUUGGAUGGUGCUAAAAUGAGCUUUUCUUAUUGGGAGCUCACUGCUGUACCUAGCUCUCUUCAAGUUUUUCCUUUAAACCUACAACUGAUGACUGCCAUGCAGGAAUGAAGACUAAUUGAGCCAGAUCUUUUAACUUUUCAAGAACAG
rnacentral:lncRNA from 1 species